GACGAACGCUGGCGGCGUGCUUAACACAUGCAAGUCGAACGAAGUGGCGAACGGGUGAGUAACGCGUAAUCAACCUGCCCUUAAGAGGGGGACAACAGGUGGAAACGACUGCUAAUACCGCAUACUGAAGGCGGGGAUUGCGUCGGAUUAGCUAGUUGGAGGGGUAACGGCCCACCAAGGCGAUGAUCAGUAGCCGGGCUGAGAGGAUGAACGGCCACAGUGGGACUGAGACACUGCCCAGACGCCUACGGUAGGCAGCAGUGGGUAAUCUUCCGCAAUGGACGAAAGUCUGACGGCGCAACGCCGCGUGGGUGAUGACGGCCUUCGGGUUGUAAAGCUCUGUUAAUCGGGACGCGGUACCGGAAUAGAAAGCCACGGCUAACUCCGUGCCAGCAGCCGCGGUAAUUC
rnacentral:rRNA from 1 species